UCCUGCUCUCCCCCAAAACCAAGAAUUGAUGGGAAAGUUCAGGCCCAGCUCUGAGCGUAUCCAGCAUGGCCUGGGCAUGGGAAUAGUGGGGCAAAGCAGACAGGAGCCUUCUCCAGCUGACGAGCAGUUUCUGGUUUCUCUCCCCAGAGUGCCAAAAUCUGAUCGGGUGGUGUUUAUCCAUGCACCCCUUGGCCAGACCCUCAUUAGAAGAGGUGUUCUGUCAUCCUUGGAUGCAGGAUAUUCAUCUGCCAUAGAAGAAGGGAGAGAGCCACAGGCACACUUUGAUCCAGGGCCCUGGGAAGGAGAAGGAGCCCCUGGAGAAGCUGUACCGGGUGGGGCUGCUGCUGCAGGAGACAGCGAGGAUGACAUCAAGGAUGACAACCUCUUCCUCAACCUGGCCACCAGCAGUUGAAGAGGAAGCAUUCUAGGUGGUCCAGUCUGGAUUGGGAAGUGCUUGGGACCAGCUGCAGCGUGGAUGGGUCGUGCCCUUGGAGCAGGCUGAGGACAUCGCUUGG